UAGAGUUUGGAUCCUGGCUCAGGAUGAACGCUAGCGGCAGGCCUAACACAUGCAAGUCGAGGGGCAGCGGGGAAAAGCUUGCUUUUCCGCCGGCGACCGGCGCACGGGUGCGGAACGCGUAUGGAACCUGCCCCUGUCAGGGGAAUAGCCCAGGGAAACUUGGAUUAAUGCCCCAUGGUACCGCGAUAUCGCAUGAUAUUGUGGUUAAAGAUUUAUCGGACAGGGAUGGCCAUGCGUACCAUUAGCUUGAUGGUGGGGUAACGGCCCACCAUGGCAACGAUGGUUAGGGGCCCUGAGAGGGGGAUCCCCCACACUGGUACUGAGACACGGACCAGACUCCUACGGGAGGCAGCAGUGAGGAAUAUUGGACAAUGGUCGGGAGACUGAUCCAGCCAUGCCGCGUGCAGGAUGACUGCCCUAUGGGUUGUAAACUGCUUUUAUACGGGAAGAAAC
rnacentral:rRNA from 1 species